rnacentral:rRNA from 1 species
UACGGAGGGUGCAAGCGUUAUCCGGAUUCACUGGGUUUAAAGGGUGCGUAGGUGGGCAGGUAAGUCAGUGGUGAAAUCUCCGGGCUUAACCCGGAAACUGCCAUUGAUACUAUCUGUCUUGAAUACCGUGGAGGUGAGCGGAAUAUGUCAUGUAGCGGUGAAAUGCUUAGAUAUGACAUAGAACACCAAUUGCGAAGGCAGCUCACUACACGAAUAUUGACACUGAGGCACGAAAGCGUGGGGGUCAAACAGG